CCUACGGGAGGCAGCAGUAGGGAAUCUUCCUCAAUGGGCGAAAGCCUGAUGGAGCAACGCCGCGUGGGUGAAGAAGGUCUUCGGAUCGUAAAACCCUGUUGUUAGAGAAGAAAGUGCGUGAGAGUAACUGUUCACGUUUCGACGGUAUCUAACCAGAAAGCCACGGCUAACUACGUGCCAGCAGCCGCGGUAAUACGUAGGUGGCAAGCGUUAUCCGGAUUUAUUGGGCGUAAAGGGAACGCAGGCGGUCUUUUAAGUCUGAUGUGAAAGCCUUCGGCUUAACCGGAGUAGUGCAUUGGAAACUGGGAGACGUGAGUGCAGAAGAGGAGAGUGGAACUCCAUGGGUAGCGGUGAAAUGCGUAGAUAUAUGGAAGAACACCAGUGGCGAAAGCGGCUCUCUGGUCUGUAACUGACGCUGAGGUUCGAAAGCGUGGGUAGCAAACAGGAUUAGAUACCCUGGUAGUC
rnacentral:rRNA from 1 species